UUUACACAGAAGUAAAAAUACGUGAAACGAAAUCCAAUCUUCACGAAUUUUUACAUGCAUGCUGCUCAGGCUACAAAAUCCGAGGUUGCAUGUUGAAGGCUUUUAUUCAAACGCCCAUCUUUGUUUCCCGGUCGCCAAUGGCAUGGCACGAGUGCCCCCUGGUGCCCGCAAUGCGGGGCCGCCGACGCUGCAUUGAGACUGCAUCUACGGACUUUUUUUUUUUUUUACUGAAACUUGAAAUACACUGUUGAGAUGUUUAUGUUGAAAUCACGGGGUGCUUUCUCGUGGUUUCUCAGCGUUUCCUCAUGUGUACACGGAGCACAUCUUUGCCAUGCACAGCUGUGAGGGGAGCCUGAAGGGCUGCCUAGCAUGGUGAGAAGACAUAAAAUGCGGACAAACUCCUCACAGCCUGCUGAGAUUAAAGAGAAAUAAAUAGAUGAACUGAAGCAUGAAGGAUUUGGGCUAGACAAAGAACUGUUUCCGGUCGUUGAGCUGGAGGGACACGUUGCCAAGAAAGUUUGUGAAAUUCUCUUCUCUAAGGACUUGAAAAGGAGAAACGUUUUCCCAGUGGUCUGGAGUUUUAUUUAGAAGCCACGCUCGAUGGAAGGAUUAGGCUCUUUGUAAACCAGUUAAUUCUUUAAAUACACUGGUUGGCCCGCGGCAAACACAGGGUUAACGGUAUUGCCUCGCUGUUCACUAUUGGCAAAGGUUUCAAAGGUGGUGUGCAUCUGUGGCCCACAACAGUUUAUCUGAGGUCUAUAAUUUCUUUUCAUUGGGAAUAAGUAGCUGGAGGCCAGAAGAGGUGAUUACUUCUCACAAUAUGUGCACUGAGUUGUGCGGGCCAGUGGUUGUUGAGUGUGCUUUCCCCCACAUUGUUGCCGGUGUUGUUUUUCAAUAAAAUUUAUAUUCAUUUUUAUCCAACAAUGUAAUUAUUGAUCCAUUCUUAUCACUGCUCUCAUGAAGGGGGAGGAAUAAAAACACAAGAAAAAGCACUUUCAUGUUCAAAGGGAGCCCUCAGAAAAAAAAUCAAUGU
rnacentral:lncRNA from 1 species